CGAAUGGCUCAUUAUAUAAGUUAUCGUUUAUUUGAUAGUACCUUACUACUUGGAUAACCGUGGUAAUUCUAGAGCUAAUACAUGCUAAAAAUCCCGACUCCGGAAGGGAUGUAUUUAUUAGAUUAAAAACCAAUGCCCUCUGGGCUCUCUGGUGAUUCAUGAUAACUUCUCGAAUCGCAUGGCCUUGCGCCGGCGAUGGUUCAUUCAAAUUUCUUCCCUAUCAACUUUCGAUGUUUGGGUAGUGGCCAAACAUGGUUGCAACGGGUAACGGAGGGUUAGGGCUCGACCCCGGAGAAGGAGCCUGAGAAACGGCUACUACAUCCAAGGAAGGCAGCAGGCGCGCAAAUUACCCAAUCCCGAUCCGGGGAGGUAGUGACAAUAAAUACUGAUACAGGGCUCUUUUGGGUCUUGUAAUCGGAAUGAGUACAAUUUAAAUCCCUUAACGAGGAACAAUUGGAGGGCAAGUCUGGUGCCAGCAGCCGCGGUAAUUCCAGCUCCAAUAGCGUAUAUUAAAGUUGUUGUGGUUAAAAAGCUCGUAGUUGAACCUUGGGCCUGGCUGGCCGGUCCGCCUCACCGCGUGCACUGGUCCGGCCGGGCCUUUCCCUCUGUGGAACCCCAUGCCCUUCACUGGGCGUGGCGGGGAAACAGGACUUUUACUUUGAAAAAAUUAGAGUGCUCCAGGCAGGCCUAUGCUCGAAUACAUUAGCAUGGAAUAAUAAAAUAGGACGUGCGGUUCUAUUUUGUUGGUUUCUAGGACCGCCGUAAUGAUUAAUAGGGACAGUCGGGGGCAUCAGUAUUCAAUUGUCAGAGGUGAAAUUCUUGGAUUUAUUGAAGACUAACUACUGCGAAAGCAUUUGCCAAGGAUGUUUUCAUUAAUCAGGAACGAAAGUUAGGGGAUCGAAGACGAUCAGAUACCGUCGUAGUCUUAACCAUAAACUAUGCCGACUAGGGAUCGGACGAUGUUAUUUUUUGACUCGUUCGGCACCUUACGAGAAAUCAA
rnacentral:rRNA from 1 species